rnacentral:rRNA from 1 species
CACGGGGGGAGCAAGCGUUGUUCGGAAUUAUUGGGCGUAAAGAGCUCGUAGGCGGUCUGUCGCGUCUGGUGUGAAAAUCCAGGGCUUAACCCUGGACCUGCAUCGGGUACGGGCAGACUAGAGUGCGGUAGGGGAGAUCGGAAUUCCUGGUGUAGCGGUGAAAUGCGCAGAUAUCAGGAGGAACACCGGUGGCGAAGGCGGAUCUCUGGGCCGUAACUGACGCUGAGGAGCGAAAGCAUGGGGAGCGAACAGG